rnacentral:tRNA from 1 species
CCAGUCGCCGUCGUCGCAGCAGAGCCGGAAGGGCGUCAUCGGCAUGGUGG